rfam:Schistosoma haematobium scaffold647_3, whole genome shotgun sequence.
AAUCUGCUGAGGAGUCCCAUACUAGGACGAAACGGCCGUCUAGU